UGGGGAAUUUUGGACAAUGGGCGAAAGCCUGAUCCAGCAAUGCCGCGUGUGUGAAGAAGGCCUUCGGGUUGUAAAGCACUUUUGUCCGGAAAGAAAUCCUUGGCUCUAAUACAGUCGGGGGAUGACGGUACCGGAAGAAUAAGCACCGGCUAACUACGUGCCAGCAGCCGCGGUAAUACGUAGGGUGCAAGCGUUAAUCGGAAUUACUGGGCGUAAAGCGUGCGCAGGCGGUUUGCUAAGACCGAUGUGAAAUCCCCGGGCUCAACCUGGGAACUGCAUUGGUGACUGGCAGGCUAGAGUAUGGCAGAGGGGGGUAGAAUUCCACGUGUAGCAGUGAAAUGCGUAGAGAUGUGGAGAAUACCGAUGGCGAAGGCAGCCCCCUGGGCCAAUACUGACGCUCAUGCACGAAAGGCGUGGGGAGCAAAGCAGGAUUAGAUACCCUGGUAGUCCACGCCCUAAACGAUGUCAACUAGUUGUUGGGGAUUCAUUUCCUUAGUAACGUAGCUAACGCGUGAAGUUGACCGCCUGGGGAGUACGGUCGCAAGAUUAAAAC
rnacentral:rRNA from 1 species